rnacentral:lncRNA from 1 species
GGUCACUAAGCAACAUGGAGAAACAGAACACGUUAUUAGCUGUUCUACAGCUACUAAGCUGCUGGGGUAUAUCUAGGCACAUGCAACUCUGUGGAUACACUCUGACAUUCUGAUAAAUCAUGGAUGGAAAAUAAAUCAACAGAGGCAAGGAGUGGUGGAAAACCAUCAGCAAGUUAAGCAAGAAUACUUUUGUGAUGCUUCUCCUUAGGGUUUCUGUGCUAUAAAUUCUCUCUCACUCUUCUUUUUUUUUUUUUUUGGAGGGGGGGGCAAUCACUAGGGUAACUAACAUGCAUGAACUACCUUGGCAGAAAAACACAGUGAAGACACUUAUCACAGCAAGAUCACAAGAUCAGCUGUAUACUCCUGCCUGAGGUCUACCUUGGCGUGUUACUGCUGUAUACCUUUCAAGACUGAUUCAGCACAUGACACAAGUGAAAAUAGGGGAAAGAAAGCAACCUAGUCAUACCUGGAGUGCUUUUUAAAAGGGGAUGCUGACUAUGGGAAGCAAUGGCAUGCUCAAAUCACAGCCCCUGAGGGAAUUCAUGAGGCAGUGGAGGAGGUGAAAAUAACCUCUAUAUUUGAAUACUACGAAAGUCAAGACAUCACAAAGCCUGGCUGUUUUUGAUGAAAAGAACGUCGUUGGAACAGACAGGCCAGAUUUAAUAAUCUACAGAGCAGAUAAGGAACUGCAAAUGUUCCUCCUACUUAAUGGUCUACCAGGUAAUGCACUCCUCUGGGGUGCGGGUGAUCGACUCUCCAGAAAAGAUGCAUAGAGGUGUAGCAUCUGCCCCCACUCAUCUUCAAGCCUAAUCAGUGAACAAGACGCGGAAGGAUUGACCUAGCUGCCCUGCCCAGCAGUGAGCACUUCUUCCAGGGUGGCAGGCAGCUGUUGCCUCCUGUUUCAUGGACUGGUCCUGGGGUUAAGCCUAUGCUUUUCAGGAACGUGUCUUAGCAUUUGAUUUCCACACAUAUUAUUCCCUGAAUUUGACCCAAAUACAAGAACAGCUUGGAGAAAGAUAGUGUUUCUCACAGAAUCUAUCAGAUCUGUAAAGGCCAUUUCCUACCUGUUUCACAUAAAUAAAUAUAUUUGGCAGCCCUUUGCUAUCA